GGGUGGGUAGCUCAGGGGUAGAGCACCUGCCUAGCAUGCACAAGGUCCUGGGUUCGAUUCCCAGCACCUCCA
rnacentral:tRNA from 1 species